GUGCUCGCUUUGGCAGCACAUAUACUAAAAUUGGAACGAUACAGAGAAGAUUAGCAUGGCCCCUGCACAAGGAUGACACGCAAACUCGUGAAGCGUUCCAUAUUUUU
rnacentral:snRNA from 1 species